AUUCCAUGAUUUGGGCACUUCCUUAACAGAUCUUUAAAUUUCUCCCAAGCCUCAUAAAAUGACUCUUCUUGCAAUUGCUUGAAGGUUGAUAUAUCAUUCCUGUAUU